AACCUAGCACACCUGCGGUGUGUACCUGCGGAAGGAUCAUUACACAAUACAAUAUGAAGGCUGUCCGCAGCUGGAGUAUUUUAUUACCCUUGUCUUUUGCGCACUUGUUGUUUCCUGGGCGGGUUCGCUCGCCACCAGGACCACCAAAUAAACCUUUUUUAUGCAGUUGCAAUCAGCGUCAGUACAAACAAUGUAAAUCAUUUACAACUUUCAGCAAUGGAUCUCAGAUCGGAAGAGCAC
rnacentral:misc_RNA from 1 species